ensembl:rRNA 5S_rRNA 5S ribosomal RNA
GUCUACAGCCAUACCACCCUGAAUGCACUCGAUCUCGUCUGAUCUCAGAAGCUAAGCAGGGUCGGGCCUGGUUAGUACUUGGAUGGGAGAAAGUUAGGUUAUAAAUU